rnacentral:rRNA from 1 species
AGAACGAACGCUGGCGGCAUGCCUAAUACAUGCAAGUCGAACGAACACUUCGGUGUUAGUGGCGCACGGGUGCGUAACGCGUGGGAAUCUGCCCUUGGGUUCGGAAUAACAGUUGGAAACGACUGCUAAUACCGGAUGAUAUCGAAAGAUCAAAGAUUUAUCGCCCAGGGAUGAGCCCGCGUAGGAUUAGCUAGUUGGUGAGGUAAAGGCUCACCAAGGCGACGAUCCUUAGCUGGUCUGAGAGGAUGAUCAGCCACACUGGGACUGAGACACGGCCCAGACUCCUACGGGAGGCAGCAGUAGGGAAUAUUGGACAAUGGGCGCAAGCCUGAUCCAGCAAUGCCGCGUGAGUGAUGAAGGCCUUAGGGUUGUAAAGCUUCUUUACCCGAGAUGAAUAUAGACUAGUAAGUACGGGAAGAAGUAACGCCCCGACUAACCGUCCGUAGCAGACAGCCGAC